GUUUACUCAAGUCAGGCACAAAAGUUGGU
rnacentral:piRNA from 1 species